UUUGGAGAGAAAAUAUACGCGUUUUGAGAGCUGGAGACUCAAGGAAGAUCAAGGGAUUCAUAUGUUCAAGAGUUUUCCGACUAUUGAAGAUUGAUUCCUCACGAAAUUCUGUAAUGACAACAAUAUUAAUCUUUGUUUUUACUUUUCUUAUGAGUAGCUAAACCCCCCAUUGCUAGGGGGGUGACCCUGAUUCUGAAUGUGACAGUAUUGAUGUUUAUGAAAGUAUUGCUUAUUUCUUCUUUUCCAUUAA
rnacentral:lncRNA from 1 species